GGAAACGCACGAGCAACACAGGCUAAGAAUAAGGCAUAACAUACAGCUCUAAUAUUUGGAAAUGUCUACAGCAACUGAAUACAUGAAAUAGAAUUGCUAACUAAAAGGUAGAGUGGAAGGAGACUCAUCGGUCCUGCGGACGCGGCAGAUGCACACCUCAAGUCUCCGGCUGUACGCCACCCUCCAAGGCUGACAAAACUUGAAUGAGGGUACCUGUAU
rnacentral:lncRNA from 1 species